rnacentral:sRNA from 1 species
AUAUAAAAGUUUACAAAUUAUAUUUAUCUAUAAAAUAUUUUUAUUUUAUACUUUACGAUUGUUAUUAAGUAACGUCCUCUUAAAUUCGUCCCGCCAAUCUGUCCCGUAAAAAAAACUCACUGAUUUUAUUUAUGAUAUGUUUAUGAAUCAUUGUCUAAAUAUUUUUUAAUUUUGUAGUAAUUAAAUGCUAUCUAAUAUCUCUGCGAUUUGAUGAUUAUAAUCGAAUUAUUAUAGUCAUGUAGAAAAACAAUAUCAAAAAUGAUAAUUUUGUAGUAAUUAAAUGAUAUUAAAUAUUUCAGAAGUUUUAUUUUAGUAACUAAUCGUGUAGUUAAUGUGGAGAGAUUUUGGGAAGAUUAUCAAAUAUUUAAUUCAAAGAUUUUCUUUCUAAUUAUCAAAAACAAUUAUUAAAUGCCAGUGGCAGCCACUGUAAAUAAAUCUCAACUCUAGGAUUUAUUUCACAAAGUGGCUGCAAAAAUGUAUAUAUAAAUAUCUAAUCUUUACUUAGAUGGCAUGGGUUUGAAAAGUUCUGAGUAACUGAUAGGCCCAAUGACUA